rnacentral:tRNA from 1 species
UCGAAAUCGGUAGGCGCUACGGACUUAAAAUCCGUUGGCUUUUUAGACCGUGAGGGUUCAAGUCCCUCUACCCCCA